UGCAUUGCAGUCUGAAACAGGUCUCUAGAGGUGUGCCAAGGACAGUCUCUUUCAAGCUUAGGUGAGGACAUUGAAGCACUACUUCCUGCCUGUUGGGGUGCACUAGAGGUAGCCACGGAUAAGAGCUACCAACUCUGUGGAGAGCAAAGGAAGGGAAGGAGCUGGCUUCUCACUGCAGUGCAUUGUCCAAAUGUUGCUGUGCCUGUGCAGACUGGCAUUAUAGACAGAUCGUGCUGCUUCAGAUGCUGUGCCUGGAAAAUGGAUUCAGCCUUUUAAAUCACCUGAAUGCUUUGUCAUCGCUAUUUGCUGAGCAGCAUAACUCCAGGCAUGAUAUGCUUAUGGGGGCAUUUUAAUUCAGCAGGUUGAUCCUGCCAUCUUAGGGUGGUGGCUGGGGCCAGCACCAAGCCUCCCCUGUUGGACUGUGGCCUGGGGCUAGGCCAGACAUAUGCUUGGGCCUAUGCCCAGGUCCACAGCCCAGCAGCAAGGCAGUGGGGCCAUCCACGGGUCCAGGCCAAUGCUGAAAGCAGCCCCAAGGCCUGGGCGGCCUAGACAGUGGCCUCCCUGCUUGCUUCAUCAGCACCACCACUUGCAGCUGUGGGACAGGGCUGUGGUCUGAGCUACCACUGUUGAGCAGGUGCUUCAGAUGCAGGGCCCAGCCUCCUGUGAGUGCCCUGCCGAGCUGAUGCAGUGCCCUCAAGGUUUUGGCACAUGGAGUCAUGGGGCUUGUUUACCUCAGCAGCAGCAUGCCAGACUCCUGCUUGCAUAGCCUGCUACUAAGCGCAGUGGCAGAGGAGAAAGCCGUUCUGCAGCUGGACGAGCCCAUGAUGGCCUGCUGCGUUUACACCUCGUCCCUGUCUUUUCAGGAUGUCUCUGACUACAGCAUCAGUUGUGCUGACUGAUUCAGAAGGACACCGCAGAGAGAGAGUGGGGCUGGCAAGAUGACAGCCCUUCACAACUGGAAGGGGGAAGAGGGGAAGAGGUUGUGUAUGAUGCAGCUCAGCUUUCCAUUAACAUGCUACUUAGAAGCAUUCAAGAGAAAAUAGUGUUAUUGGAAUUUUAGAGGAAUGUACAAAUAAAUGAGAAUUAAUUGGCUUCUUACUUAUGGAA
ensembl:lncRNA